rnacentral:rRNA from 1 species
GACGAACGCGGGCGGCGUGCUUAACACAUGCAAGUCGAACGGAAAGGCCCUGCUUUUGUGGGGUGCUCGAGUGGCGAACGGGUGAGUAACACGUGAGUAACCUGCCCUUGACUUUGGGAUAACUUCAGGAAACUGGGGCUAAUACCGGAUAGGAGCUCCUGCUGCAUGGUGGGGGUUGGAAAGUUUCGGCGGUUGGGGAUGGACUCGCGGCUUAUCAGCUUGUUGGUGGGGUAGUGGCUUACCAAGGCUUUGACGGGUAGCCGGCCUGAGAGGGUGACCGGCCACAUUGGGACUGAGAUACGGACCAGACUCCUACGGGAGGCAGCAGUGGGGAAUAUUGCACAAUGGGCGGAAGCCUGAUGCAGCAACGCCGCGUGCGGGAUGACGGCCUUCGGGUUGUAAACCGCUUUCGCCUGUGACGAAGCGUGAGUGACGGUAAUGGGUAAAGAAGCACCGGCUAACUACGUG